AUAAGGAAUUUAAACAGGAUUUGAGGCAAGAGUUAUGCGGCUUAUGCCUAUCGACUAACCCACGAACGCAAUGCGAAAUCCUAUCGGCCCUAUCCUUCAAAACGCGACGUUUUGAACACUCUGCAAGAUUGUGAUGAAUUUUUGAGCAUUGGGUGAUUUAUGUAAAUGUUGGAGUAGAAGAGAAUGGUGUUAGUGCUGGCAAUUGGGAUCUUCACAUCAUUUGCACCGGCAAUCUCUGUAUCAAAGUACCCCACUUCUUAUUCUUCUCAAUCUCUUCAAUAUUCGUUUUCGGUUAAUUAAUUGUGUAUGCUUUCUUUCUUUCCUUUUCUUUUUUCUUUUUAUUUUUUUAUUUUUUAUUUUUUUUAUUUUUGGGUUUAAUUCUCUUAGAAUUAUGGUAGCUUUUUAGCAAAUAUAAUAACUGAUGCUGGAACCAGUCUCUGAAUUUCGUUCACAGCACCCGAUGCAUUUGAUUUUUCUUGUCUGACUAUAAUUUAAUCUUUGUGCCCAUAAACACAAAAUCGAGCUUAAAUGCCAGAAGGCAUGAAAUGAUUGUGGUGACUUGAUUUUA